UGUUCCCUCCUUUCUUCGCGACUCCACACUCCUCAUUUUCUGUUUGUAAUAAUUCUCCAGUCGCAAAUUUAAUACUUUAAUUGAAAGAAAAGGAAAAAUCUGUAAUGCAGCAUCUGCUGAUUCAGAAACCUCCAACAAUCACAACAUGUUCAACAACAACCGCUUCAAGCGGAAGAUUCACGCCGUCGAUUUUGUCGCCGAUGUCCACCACGAAACUACCACGGCCGCAGCAGAUAACACCUGUGAGCUGUCGGAGAUGUAGGAUAAAGUGUAUGGCAAACCCGAGGAGAUUGAAAAUGGUGGCAAACCAGAUAAGGAGAGAGAUUUCAGACAUGCUAAUCACUGACAAGGUUUUGCAGUGUGCCGUCCUACCGGAAGCUGCUCUCGGCGCCGAUCGUUAUCUAUCGUCGCUCACUACUGUCAGCGACGUCGAAGUCUCCGCCGACUUGCAGGUUGUAAAAGUUUAUGUAUCUGUAUUUGGUGAUGAAAGAGGAAAGGAAGUAGCACUUACAGGGCUGAAGUCCAAAGCAAAAUAUGUUCGGAGCGAGCUAGGGAGGCGCAUGAAAUUAAGGCUGACUCCUGAGAUUCGCUUUAUUGAGGAUGAGUCUCUAGAACAAGGGAGCAGGGUUAUUGCUAUAUUGGACAGAAUAAAGAAAGAGAAUGAGGAAAAGGAGGCAAACGGUCAAGGGGAUGAUAAGUGCGAGUCAUCUAAUCAAACUGAAGAAGAUGAGGAGUGGGAGGGUGAUGAUGACGAAGGAAUUAUUUAUGUCAAGUAGUUCCUUUGAAUGGGGGGUGUGAGUAGGGACUUCAGAGUUGAGCAUGCUUUGCUUCUUAAAUGAUUAGUGCGCUGACUUCCUGAAGUUAUAGAACAGAAAGGUGAAGAAUGUUACUUGUGGACAAUAUGCAUCUUGAUGAAAGGACCUGGCCGUAAAACCUUCUUUCUUUGCUCAUCUUUGGUGCAGCAAUAGAGUAAACCGUCUCAUUUUAGGUUAAUAUGUUAUCGCUGAGUUGUCAUGCUCUUAAUGUCCCGUUCUGAGGUAGGAGUUCUAUGUAUAAACCUAAGACUAGAUCUAUAAAAAAUGUAUAAACCAUGGAUUAACGCAAGGGAGCAUCUAUAUUGUUACA